ensembl:misc_RNA Metazoa_SRP Metazoan signal recognition particle RNA
GCUGGGUGUGGUGGCUAACGCCUGUAAUCCCAUACUCUGGGAGGCCGAGGCAGGUGGGUCACUUGAGCUCAGGAGUUCAAGACCAGCCUGGGCAACAUGGUGAAACCCUGUCUCUA